GUUUCAGAGCUAGUGGCUGUAGGAACUACUGGGGAGCAACAUCAUUUAGCAGCAAAGAUAUUCUUUCUCAGCAAAUUGCUUGAAGCCAAGGGGAAGAAGCUUCCAGGAAAUGUGGUGUCCUCUGAUCCUCCUUCCUUCCUGAGAACUGGGGUCCUUGCAGAUCCACCAAGUCCGGAGGUGCCCAGUGGCCCCGCAUUUCCUUCCACCAGAGUCAGCUGAAUUCUGAUAAAAACUUAGAAGAACGUUCCUCCCUCCACGGGACUCAGCCCUGGGACUGGGGUGGAGCUGGGGACCAGACCCAGUGGAACCCUCAUUGUUUAUCCUCUCUCAUCUCUGAUCCCAGGCACUCAGGUCCCAACCGUUCUCUUCCUAGCCUCUUUAAUUCUAUGGAAAUCACUCAGACAUUGAGAGAUCCCUGUUGUGAGAGGUUGGGAGACUCAAGCUCUACAAGCCAGUCUCAGCUGAGGCUGAGCCUGAAUUAUUCCUUGUGUCCCUGCAACAAUUCUCCUUCUCAGCACUGCAAAUGAUAUUUGUUUCCCAAAAGCUAGGAACAUGCGAGG
rnacentral:lncRNA from 1 species